GACACAUCUGUCGUUCAUGGCGGGAAGGCUCAGUGAAUGGUCUCCUGGGAAGUUCCCGGGUGGGGCCAUAUUGAGCCCUGAGAUCACCAGUGGAAUGUCGUCACUCCACCAACCAAGCCAACCAGGCACCUCCAACUGUCUUAAUGUUAAUGCUUUGUUGAGGGAAAAACAGACUUAGCCUGACAAUAGCUAGGUCUCCAGCAUCCUGUGAGUCCUCUUUAACAUUAGAAAAUCCUUCUGGAAACUUCCUUUUCCCCUCCCCCUCACUUAAAAAGUAUAUAACCAAUUGCUCCUCACAAUCCUGGUACAGCUCUUUCUGCUCACAGAUCCUGUCUCUGGGCUUUAAUAAAAACCACAUUUUUUUGCAUUAAAAA